GACGAACGCUGGCGGCGUGCUUAACACAUGCAAGUCGAACGGAAAGGCCCUGCUUGUGUGGGGUGCUCGAGUGGCGAACGGGUGAGUAACACGUGAGUAACCCGGCCUUGACUUUGGGAUAACUGCAGGAAACUGGGGUUAAUACCGGACAGGAGCUCCUGCUUCAUGGUGGGGGUUGGAAAGCAGGGGCGGUCGGGGAUGGACUCGCGGCUUUUCAGCUUGUGGGUGGGGAAGUGGCUUACCAAGGCUCUGACAGGAAGCGGGCCUGAGAGGGUGACCGGCCACAUUGGGUCUGAGAUACGGCCCAGACUCCUACGGGAGGCAGGGGUGGAGAGUGUUACACAGCGGGAGGGAGCCUGCUGCAGCGACGCCGCGCGGGGGAUGACGGCCAUCGGGUUGUAAUGCACUUCCGCAUGUGAAGAAGCGAGAGUGACGGUAAUGGAUAAAGAAGCACCGGCUAACUACGUG
rnacentral:rRNA from 1 species